AUUCAUUUCCAAAUGCUCCUAGGGAGAUUGCUGAACUAGAAGAUUGAAUUGAGAUUGGAGUCUUCCUGGAAUAAAUAAAAGAACAGCCACUAAAGGAGGUGAUGUCUUGCUACACUGUCCAGGCUGGACUUCAACUUCUGGGCUCAAGCAUUUCUCCUGCCUUAGCUUCCUGAGCAGCUAGUACUACAGGCAUGAGCAACCAUGCCCAGAUGGUGAGCUGGAGGUGCUGAGAGCUUCAACAACGCACCCAAGUCAGAUGGGAAGUCAAAUGCUUGGCCACCCUCAAACUCUCUGUUUUUACUCUGCAAGAAACUUCCCAACAGACAGUUCGACAGCCUCCCAAAUGCCAAUGGGCAUGAAAUAUGGUUUUCUCCCAAGUCCCUCUUCAGAACUGAAUCUUUCCAUGUCUCCUUCAGGGACUGCAGAGCCUCAUCUAAACUUAAGAUAAAUAAAUACCCCAAGAUGUGGGAUAGAAAUGGAAGUCAAAAGGAGAGACUGGGGAAAGGAGUUAGCGAACCUUGGACCUUUUACCAUAUGGCCUCAGCACUUUUGAUUAUUUUAUAAAUGCAUGAGGUGACACAUUGGUUUCUUUAAAGCCAUUUUUACACAUACAUCCCUUUUAGGGUUAUAAUUCAUGUGAAUUUAGAUAAUGAGGUAAUUGAAUUUAAUGACUGUAGCAGUGAUUCAGGAAGGAGAAGAUCUCAAAUUAUUUACAAUAAUAAUUGAUACUAAUACUUGUAUGGUAUUACCAAGGCAACACUAAAAUGGUAAUAACUUCCAUUUGAGAGAUGGAAGGAACCAUAGACAUAAUUUUGCCCAAGCCCCUGUUUCAAAUAUCUAAGAAAUCUAAGACUCAGAAAGGCAAUGUGACUUAAGCAAAGAAUUGACCAAUUCAACAGCGAUUCUUAAUUCAAUGCUUUCCCCUACAAUACACCAUUACUUUAUCGCUUAUAGUGUCAGCACAUCUCCCUCUAUAAAUAUCAUAGUGUGGAUUUGGAACACCACAACUGACGUGUACUUGACUGGAUAUUUCUCAGUUUCCUGAUUGCUUUGGUUAGUGAUGGUGUUCUAGGCAAAGUAACUCUUAGAUCAUUAAUAGGGAAAACAGAUUUUCAAAAAAGAUAUGGUGAUAGAAUCAUAAUUUUAACAUCAGAAGAUGUCUGCCCACAAUUUUAUUUUCUUAAAAUGAAAUAAGACCAUUUUAUAUUAUGAUGUAAAAUAAACAAUUUUAAUAAGG